GAUGAACGCUGGCGGCGUGCCUAAUACAUGCAAGUCGAGCGAACGGACGAGAAGCUUGCUUCUCUGAUGUUAGCGGCGGACGGGUGAGUAACACGUGGAUAACCUACCUAUAAGACUGGGAUAACUUCGGGAAACCGGAGCUAAUACCGGAUGAUAUUUUGAACCGCAUGGUUCAAAAGUGAAAGACGGUCUUGCUGUCACUUAUAGAUGGAUCCGCGCUGCAUUAGCUAGUUGGUAAGGUAACGGCUUACCAAGGCAACGAUGCAUAGCCGACCUGAGAGAGUGAUCGGCCACACUGGAACUGAGGCACGGUCCAGACUCCUACGGGAGGCAGCAGUAGGGAAUCUUCCGCAAUGGGCGAAAGCCUGACGGAGCAACGCCGCGUGAGUGAUGAAGGUCUUCGGAUCGUAAAACUCUGUUAUUAGGGAAGAACAUAUGUGUAAGUAACUGUGCACAUCUUGACGGUACCUAAUCAGAAAGCCACGGCUAACUACGUG
rnacentral:rRNA from 1 species